AUUGAACGCUGGCGGCAGGCCUAACACAUGCAAGUCGAGCGGGGUUUUCGGACCUAGCGGCGGACGGGUGAGUAAUGCGUAGGAAGCUACCCGAUAGAGGGGGAUACCUGUUGGAAACGACUGUUAAUACCGCAUAAUGUCUACGGACCAAAGUGUGGGACCUUCGGGCCACAUGCUAUCGGAUGCGCCUACGUGGGAUUAGCUAGUUGGUGGGGUAAUGGCUCACCAAGGCGACGAUCCCUAGCUGGUUUGAGAGGAUGAUCAGCCACACUGGAACUGGGACACGGUCCAGACUCCUACGGGAGGCAGCAGUGGGGAAUAUUGGACAAUGGGCGCAAGCCUGAUCCAGCCAUGCCGCGUGUGUGAAGAAGGCCUUCGGGUUGUAAAGCACUUUCAGUAGGGAGGAAGGGUGUUGUGUUAAUAGCACAGCAUUUUGACGUUACCUACAGAAGAAGCACCGGCUAACUCUGUGCCAGCAGCCGCCGUAAGAC
rnacentral:rRNA from 1 species